rnacentral:rRNA from 1 species
AGUGAACGCUGGCGGUAGGCCUAACACAUGCAAGUCGAACGGCAGCACAGUAAGAGCUUGCUCUUACGGGUAGCGAGUGGCGGACGUGUGAGGAAUACAUCGUAAUCUACUUUUUCGUGGGGGAUAACGUAGGGAAACUUACGCUAAUACCGCAUACCACCUACGGGUGAAAGCAGUGGAUCUUCUGACCUUGCGCGAUUGAAUGAGCCGAUGUCGGAUUAGCUAGUUGGCGGGGUAAAGGCCCACCAAGGCGACGAUCCGUAGCUGGACUGAGAGGGUGAUCAGCCACACUGGACCUGAGACACGGUCCAGACUCCUACGGGAGGCAGCAGUGGGGAUUAUUGGACAAUGGGCGCAAGCCUGAUCCAGCCAUACCGCGUGGGUGAAGAAGGCCUUCGGGUUGUAAAGCCCUUUUGUUGGGAAAGAAAAGCAGCAGGUUAAUACCCCGCUGUUCUGACGGUACCCAAAGAAUAAGCACCGGCUAACUUAGUG